UCUGUAUUUGUCACAGCUCAGAAACACAGAGAUGAUUUCUCAAAGUUCUCUGUUGUGUGUGUUGUUGCUUUGUAUUCAAGGCUCCUGUGGACAAAUUGUGAUGACUCAAUUCCCAGAUUCUGUCACUGUGUCACCAGGAGAAAGUGUCACCAUCACAUGUACAUCAAGUACUAGUAUGGGCAGCGAUGAUGUAGCCUGGUACCAACAGAAGCCAGGGCAAGCGCCAAAGCUUCUUAUCCGUUGGGUAGGUAACAAAGCGCCUGGGACCCCAGACAGGUUCACUAGCAGUGGGUCUGGUACUAAGCACACAUUUACAAUCAGCGGAGUGCAAGCAGAAGAUGCAGCAGAUUAUUACUGUCAGCAGCAUGAUGACUGGCCUCGCACAGUGAUACAGAGCUGUACAAAAACCUUACUUCUCCUUUUCUCUGAUAUUUCUGUAAAGCAAAAAGCAGGUUUUUCAGUUUUUUUUUUAUUUAUAUUAUAA